rnacentral:lncRNA from 10 species
GUGCCCAGUCUGCAAACUGGCUUUGAAGGCUCCCAGUCUCCCCAGCCCAUCACCAAGUCACCAAUUCCUGUUUUUUUUUUUUUUUUUUUUUUUUUGCUGCAUCCGAAACAUCUCCCAGCUCCACCAACUCUGUCCCCAUCUGGCCCAGGCCACAGCCCCUCCCACCUGGACACCCGCCCUGGCCUCCGCAAGGGGCUGUCUCCUUCACUCUUAGCCCACGGUCCCUCUUCCUCAUGGAGGCUCAGGGCACGUCCCUCCACCAAGCAAAUCCCCUCCAUGGCUCCCCACAGACAGGGUGACAUCCAAACAUCUAGUCCCGGCCACACAAACCUCGUUUGAGCCAGUUCCUGUUCCUCUCCACCUUCACCCGGCACCAGGAGAUCCAGCCCGGGAACAGCUCCCACUGGCCCAAAGAGAAGCUUCUGGCCUGCCCCAGGGCUACACUCAUGCAGUCCCCUCAGCCAGAAACACCGUUGCCCCUCCCCCCUCUUUGGUGAACUCUUCAUCCUCUCAGGCAUACCUCCUCCAGGAAGCCUGCCCAGAUGCCUUCAACAAGGUUUGGGGCCCCGUCUGUGCUCCCUGGGCCCCUGCAGCACCCCCUCAUAGCCUUAGUGGUGCUGUAAUUAUUCCUUUGUCUUUGCCUCCUCAUAGCAUGGCGCAGCCUCUGCGGCCAGGAACCUUGCGUUUCAUAAUAUUUUCUCAGUGCAAGAAUGGCAAAUGGAGGUCCAGAAAGCACUUACCCGAGGCAGAGGCCAAACUGAGCCAGAAAACACAAAUCUGACUCCCCCUCCUCCCCCAGUCCAGGGCACAGGCCUGGCCCUCACAGUCAGGUGGGGCUGAGCAGCUGUAGACCUCAGCAGAACUCCCCCUCCCCUCCACCCCAGCCCCCACUGGUGCCCCAGGCUCUCCUGCUGGUCAGAGGCCCUGCUGCGGCCAGGGAGGAAGCCGUCCAGCCACCGAAGGAAGAAGUCACACAGCGACCGGGCGGUCACUCUUCCCCAGCCAGCUCUGUAUGAGAAGACAAGGACCUUUCUCCAUGAUCCUUUCGUCCCUGUAGCCCAGCCUACAGCAGAAAGAUGGGGCUGCACCCCUGCCGUGGGCUGAGGCUGGGAAGGAACGCGGACGGGGAGGAGGACCCAGGCAGCACCUCCCCGCGGACCAGAACUCGAACCCACAGCUCUGGACUUAGCCGGGGGCUCUGGCGCUCGCCUCCGCCUCCGAGCGGAUGUGCCGGAUAUUUGUUGCCCUAAGUUCCUGAAUCACCUCCUGAGAAAUGCAUUGUGGUGGGCGUGUGUGUUCCUCUGGGGACUCCGUGCUUGGGCUUAAAGCAUUUAGGAAAUCAAUAAAAUAAAUACUCUCUAAGCCUCAGGCCACUGGCGUCAGGUCCCUGCCUUUUCACGGGGGCCCUCUCCUCCGGUCAGCAAACCCUGCGUCUGCACUCUCCAAGGAGGGCCGUGCCCAGAGUCUCUUUUUGUUCAGGAAAAGUUCUGCUUUUCCCUGAGACUGAAACAAAGCAUGAAACCGCCUCCCUUUGACCAGGCUGUUUAGCUGCUUUUGUAGGGGGCCUGGAUCCCAGAGGAGAGAAACGAGCUCAGAUGGGGGAGGCCUGUCUCGCGCUGUCUCCUCCUUAAAACCAAAACGACAUCGUCCCCGAUUACAUUACAGUGAAAAAAUGACUGGUGCACGGUUUUCUGCCAUUAAAUUAUUUCACACGUACCAUUUAGUUGGCUGACUGGGGGCCAAAGGCAUUUAAAAACUCUGCUCUCAGCCAAAUGAUCAAGUGUUCCCACCGCCCUCCCCUGUGCCUAUGGUUUUUCUUAUUCCGUGUAAUUUAAGGGUCUAAAUAGUCUGGAGGGAAUUAACUGCAGAUUCUUCCUAAGACAAAUAAACUCAGCCUCUUC